ACAUGCAGGUGAUCGCCGUUGAAAGACGGUUUCCUCUUCGGAGGCACCUGCACAGGUGCUGCAUGGCUGUCGUCAGCUGUGUCGUGAGAUGUUGGGUUAAGUCCCGCAACGAGCGCAACCCUUAUCCCCAGUUGCCAUCAGGUAAAGCUGGGAACUCUGGGGAGACUGCCGGUGAUAAACCGGAGGAAGGCGGGGAUGACGUCAAGUCCUCAUGGCCCUUACAUCCCGGGCUACACACGUGCUACAAUGGCAGGUACAGAGGGCUGCGAAGCCGCGAGGUGGAGCGAAUCCCAGAAAACCUGUCUCAGUCCGGAUUGAAGUCUGCAACUCGACUUCAUGAAGGCGGAAUCGCUAGUAACCGCGAAUCAGCAGGUCGCGGUGAAUACGUUCCCGGGCCUU
rnacentral:rRNA from 1 species